AGAGUUUGAUCCUGGCUCAGAAUCAACGCUGGCGGCGCGCUUAACACAUGCAAGUCGAACGAGAAAGUGGAGCAAUCCAUGAGUAAAGUGGCGUACGGGUGAGUAACACGUGGGUAAUCUACCUCUUGGUGGGGAAUAACCCCGGGAAACCGGGGCUAAUACCGCAUAAGCUUGAAAGAGGAAAGGCGAAAGUCGCCGAGAGAGGAGCCCGCGGCCGAUUAGCUAGUUGGUAGGGUAAAGGCCUACCAAGGCAAAGAUCGGUAGCCGGCCUGAGAGGGCACACGGCCACACUGGCACUGAAACACGGGCCAGACUCCUACGGGAGGCAGCAGUGGGGAAUCUUGCACAAUGGGGGAAACCCUGAUGCAGCGACGCCGCGUGAGUGAUGAAGCCCUUCGGGGUGUAAAGCUCUUUCGGCAGGGACGAUAAUGACGGUACCUGAAGAAGAAGCUGCGGCUAACUACGUGCCAGCAGCCGCGGUAAUACGUAGGCAGCGAGCGUUGUUCGGAGUUACUGGGCGUAAAGCGUGCGUAGGCGGUGUUCCAAGUCUGGUGUGAAAUCUCCCGGCUCAACUGGGAGGGUGCGCUAGAAACUGGGACGCUGGAGUGUGGGAGAGGUAAGCGGAAUUCCUGGUGUAGCGGUGAAAUGCGUAGAUAUCAGGAGGAACACCUGCGGUGUAGACGGCUUACUGGACCACUACUGACGCUGAGGCACGAAAGCGUGGGGAGCAAACAGGAUUAGAUACCCUGGGUAGUCCACGCCCUAAACGAUGCAUACUUGGUGUGGGCAGUUCAGUCUGU
rnacentral:rRNA from 1 species